CUCUUGCAACAGAGAGACAACAAAUGGCCAAGCUGAUACUUGCUGCUGAAUCACUUCAAGUUAAACUCAGCUACCUGAUGUUGCUGGAAUCAACACCAAUAUGCAAGAAAGCACAUUUGUAAGGGGCACUUCAUUGCAAUCCUGGCAGUGCUGAGAGUCACGAAGAUUCCUGUCUUGGCACAAAGAGGCUUCCCAAACAUUCCACGUGCUGUUGUGCAGACUUGCAGACCUCCAAGUGAUCUCCAAGGACACUCAGGGUCCUCCUGCUUGAAGAAUGAUGUUACUGCUAAACCGCAAACAUCUCAAGACAAAGAUGCACCAAAUUCUACCAUAACCUUGAUAUAAUUACACUAUCAUGGAAUUCUAAAAGAAUUAAAAGAAUUCAUCAUUAAGUUUGUACAGAAAGCUAUUAUUCAUUUGAGGUCAACAAACCAAGACUUGUUCAUGUAACAUUUUAUUCACAAGUAGAAAAAGUAUUACAAAACAAUUUAUACAAGAUUUUAAUUUACAUUUGCUAAAGGAGUAUUUAAAAUAGCAAUGUAAGUCCCUAGACAUGACAUGUGGGCAGUCUAAAUGCAGUGAUAGUGGAUGCUUUCUAUUGGCAUGUACAACAUUGCUUGCCACAGGCAAUAUAGAAAAGACCAAUUUGGUUAAAUUAAGAAAAAAAGUAUAUACACAUAAAAUAUACACAUAUAUUUUAAAAACACUCUCAAGUUUUUCCUCCCAAUUUGCUCUCAAGCUUUCACUCAUUAAAAAAAAGCCAAAAAACAAAAACCUCAAAAGAACCCCAAAAAGAUCAUCUUUCUCCAGGGUUGCUGGAUAAAAAUAAUUAUACAAAGUUUAAAUUCCAAUGAGAAAACAGACUGUGGCAGAUGCUGGCAAAAUUUUUGAACAUUGCUUUUCAAGUACUGUUAUUAGUGAAAAGCUAAAUCUCUGUAUGUUCUAAAAAUAUUUUGCCAUAUACUGAAAUGCACGUUGGAUUUUUUUUCUAUUUACAAAGUAUAUACAAAGAAGCACACAUCUCUUCAUGCACACAUAGUGAAAAAUGUUUUGUAACUUCUUAAAUGUAUGAAAGUAUACAAAGAAAUUAUUUAAAACUACUCAUAUUUAAAUAUAUAUGUGAAAGUAUUUAUCUGAGUAAUUGUACUGUAUAACUGCUUAUUAUUCCAUCAGUGACCAAAAGGUGAUAUCCACUACUUAAAACAUCAAACCAAACAACAGCAAAAAAUCACUUGGGUAACUUGUUCACUUUGUUUUGAAUUUGGGAACUGUGCUUUUGCACCAAUGAAUAAUCUCAGUGGUGAAGAGCUGGAGCGUCUCUCUGCCAUGGCUGCCUGAAAUGUUUUUAGCUAUUCUUGUGCAGGUGCAACCUUCUUCAGUGUGCUCCAAACCAAAAGUCUUUUUCCAUAAUGGAUUCUGAAUACUGUCUCAACAUUUCCAUUGCCACACAUCUGUGGAAAGAUGAGUAAUACUUAUUGCCAAUUUGCAUGUGUUUCACUGAUUGCUUUGCUUUAGUCAAGGCACAUUGGGUACUUUAAGGAAUAAUUGCUAGAGUUCAUCACAGACAAGUGUGAGCCUGUUGAGCGUAAUGAAUCAGUAGAGGUUACUGAGAUUAUUCACAGAAGCAAACAAUAUUUUAGGGAUGAAAAUGGCUGGAAAAAAAUAAUAUUAAGGGAUGGUGAUAAAGCAAACCACUUUUUAUAUUUUGUGGGGAAAAUUUGAAUUGACACAGUAUUACAGUGAAAGGGACAGAGUGUCCUCAAUGAAAGGGACUCCUAAAUGGAUGAAUUAGUUCACCAACAGAGCUUGACCCUUAAAAAUAAUACAUCAAUAAAAAACCUUGGUAACAGUCUCACUGUAUAAAUACUUUCAUGGCACACCUGCUGUAAUCUGACAUUUUGAUCUGACAGUUGAUUACAAUUAUUUCAACAUUCAAAAUUAUAUGCUAUAACAAGAAUUGCUGUAUUCCAAUACUGAGACUACUAAACACAAUGUCCUUAUCUAUAUUCUGACCUUCAUUAAACUAAAUCUAAUUUACAGCUAAUCUGCUG